rnacentral:rRNA from 1 species
UGGCGGCGUGCCUAAUAACAUGCAAGUAGAACGCUGAAGGAGGAGCUUGCUCUUCUGGAUGAGUUGCGAACGGGUGAGUAACGCGUAGGUAACCUGCCUGGUAGCGGGGGAUAACUAUUGGGAAACGAUAGCUAAUACCGCAUAAUAGCAGUUGUUGCAUGACAGCUGUUUGAAAGGUGCAAAUUGCACCACUACCAGAUGGACCUGCGUUGUAUUAGCUAGUUGGUGGGGUAACGGCUCACCAAGGCGACGAUACAUAGCCGACCCUGAGAGGGUGAUCGGCCACACUGGGACUGAGACACGGCCCAGACUCCUACGGGAGGCAGCAGUAGGGAAUCUUCGGCAAUGGACGAAAGUCUGACCGAGCAACGCCGCGUGAGUGAAGAAGGUUUUCGGAUCGUAAAGCUCUGUUGUAAGAGAAGAACGAGUGUGAGAGUGGAAAGUUCACACUGUGACGGUAUCUUACCAGAAAGGGACGGCUAACUACGUGCCAGCAGCCGCGGUAAU